rnacentral:miRNA from 1 species
AUAUAACCGGCAUAUUAC